UAAAGAUUGAUUUACUAAAUAGUUUUAAUAUUUUUUUAGAGAAUUUUCUUUGUUUUUAGUAUUUUUUUGAAAAAGUUAUUUUUGUAAUAGUUUAUUAGUAUUGUAAAAUAAUGUUUAAAUAUUUUGAAAUAAUUAUUUUAUGAAAAGCAUAUUUUUAUAUAGUACCUUUUGUAUCAGGGAUGAUUAACUUUAUUUAAUAUAU
rnacentral:rRNA from 1 species